UCUGGUAUAGCUCAGUUGGUAGAGCAGUCGCGAACUAUUGAACGCGCGAUGUUGCCGCAGGUUCGAUCCCUGCUACCGGAA
rnacentral:tRNA from 1 species